AGACAGAGGGUGCAAACGUUGUUCGGAAUUACUGGGCGUAAAGCGCGUGUAGGCGGCUCUGCAAGUCGGGUGUGAAAUCCCAUGGCUCAACCAUGGAAGUGCACUCGAAACUGCAGGGCUAGAGUCCUGGAGAGGAAGGUGGAAUGCUUGGUGUAGAGGUGAAAUUCGUAGAUAUCAAGCGGAACACCGGUGGCGAAGGCGGCCUUCUGGACAGUGACUGACGCUGAGACGCGAAAGCGUGGGGAGCAAACA
rnacentral:rRNA from 1 species